rnacentral:rRNA from 1 species
CCUACGGGUGGCAGCAGUGAGGAAUAUUGGUCAAUGGACGAGAGUCUGAACCAGCCAAGUCGCGUGAAGGAUGACUGCCCUCUGGGUUGUAAACUUCUUUUAUAUGGGAAUAAAAUGUUCCACGUGUGGGAUUUUGUAUGUACCAUAUGAAUAAGGAUCGGCUAACUCCGUGCCAGCAGCCGCGGUAAUACGGAGGAUCCGAGCGUUAUCCGGAUUUAUUGGGUUUAAAGGGAGCGUAGGUGGAUUGUUAAGUCAGUUGUGAAAGUUUGCGGCUCAACCGUAAAAUUGCAGUUGAAACUGGCAGUCUUGAGUACAGUAGAGGUGGGCGGAAUUCGUGGUGUAGCGGUGAAAUGCUUAGAUAUCACGAAGAACUCCGAUUGCGAAGGCAGUUCACUGGACUGCAACUGACACUGAGGCUCGAAAGUGUGGGUAUCAAACAGGAUUAGAUACCCGAGUAGUC